AACGAACGCUGGCGGCAUGCCUAACACAUGCAAGUCGAACGAGACCUUCGGGUCUAGUGGCGCACGGGUGCGUAACGCGGGGGAACCUGCCCUUAGGUUCGGAAUAACUCCCCGAAAGGGGUGCUAAUACCGGAUAAUGUCUUCGGACCAAAGAUUUAUCGCCUUUGGAUGGGCCCGCGUUGGAUUAGCUAGUUGGUAGGGUAAAAGCCUACCAAGGCGACGAUCCAUAGCUGGUCUGAGAGGAUGAUCAGCCACACUGGGACUGAGACACGGCCCAGACUCCUACGGGAGGCAGCAGUGGGGAAUAUUGGACACUGGGCGAAAGCCUGAUCCAGCCAUGCCGCGUGAGUGAUGAAGGCCUUAGGGUUGUAAAGCUCUUUUACCCGGGAUGAUAAUGACAGUACCGGGAGAAUAAGCUCCGGCUAACUCCGUG
rnacentral:rRNA from 1 species